rnacentral:tRNA from 1 species
GCUCCCGUAGUCUAGCGGCCAAGGAUUUGGGACUCUCACUCCCAAGACGGGGGUUCAAAUCCCCCCGGGAGCA